UACGUAGGGGGCAAGCGUUGUCCGGAUUCAUUGGGCGUAAAGCGCGGGCAGGCGGCCCGCUCAGUCGGCCGUGAAAGCCCCGGGCUCAGCCCGGGAAGUGCGCUCGAAACUGCGCGGCUCGAGUGCCGGAGGGGAGAGUGGAAUUCCUGGUGUAGCGGUGAAAUGCGUAGAUAUCAGGAGGAAUACCGGUGGCGAAAGCGACUCUCUGGACGGCAACUGACGCUGAGGCACGAAAGCGUGGGGAGCAAACAGG
rnacentral:rRNA from 1 species